CAUAAAGCAAUGCACUGAAAAUGCUUAGAUGGGUAAUCAUACCCCAUAAACA
rnacentral:tRNA from 1 species